rnacentral:rRNA from 1 species
AGUGAACGCUGGCGGUAGGCCUAACACAUGCAAGUCGAACGGCAGCACAGUAAGAGCUUGCUCUUACGGGUGGCGAGUGGCGGACGGGUGAGGAAUACAUCGGAAUCUACUUUUUCGUGGGGGAUAACGUAGGGAAACUUACGCUAAUACCGCAUACGACCUACGGGUGAAAGCAGGGGAUCUUCGGACCUUGCGCGAUUGAAUGAGCCGAUAUCGGAUUAGCUAGUUGGCGGGGUAAAGGCCCACCAAGGCGACGAUCCGUAGCUGGUCUGAGAGGAUGAUCAGCCACACUGGAACUGAGACACGGUCCAGACUCCUACGGGAGGCAGCAGUGGGGAAUAUUGGACAAUGGGCGCAAGCCUGAUCCAGCCAUACCGCGUGGGUGGAGAAGGCCUUCGGGUUGUAAAGCCCUUUUGUUGGGAAAGAAAAGCAGCAGGUUAAUACCCCGCUGUUCUGACGGUACCCAAAGAAUAAGCACCGGCUAACUUCGU